rnacentral:rRNA from 1 species
GAUGAACGCUGGCGGCGUGCCUAAUACAUGCCAGUCGAGCGAACAGACGAGGAGCUUGCUCCUCUGACGUUAGCGGCGGACGGGUGAGUAACACGUGGAUAACCUACCUAUAAGACUGGGAUAACUUCGGGAAACCGGAGCUAAUACCGGAUAAUAUAUUGAACCGCAUGGUUCAAUAGUGAAAGACGGUUUUGCUGUCACUUAUAGAUGGAUCCGCGCCGCAUUAGCUAGUUGGUAAGGUAACGGCUUACCAAGGCGACGAUGCGUAGCCGACCUGAGAGGUGAGGAGGCGAAAAUGGAGGGAAGCAACGGCAAGAGAGCCAAGGGGGGGGACAAGAAGGGAAGGGUGUGAAAUGGGAGAAAGCAUGAAAAAACAAGGAAGGGAGAGAAAAGAAGGGAUGGGGAUCAGAAAACACUGUUAGAAGGGAAGAACAAAUAAGGAAGCGACUAAGCACGUAUAAACGGUACCGAAUAAGAAAGCCACGGAUAACUACGUG